UGACUAAGCACUCUGUGGUUGAGCUUCUUGUUCAUAGUGGUGGAUGCUUGCAGUCUAUCCUGCCUCCACCACUUGUGGAGUAUCAAAAGCUGAGAUGCAGGGUUGCUUUUCAUGCCUUACGGUUCAGAGAGGAGGUCCAAAAUCUCGCUAUUAAAAUCUUGAAUAGAAUAAAAGCUUCAGGACAACCAUUUAUUGCCUAUGAUCCGGGGAUGACCAGAGACGCUUUAGCAUA
rnacentral:misc_RNA from 1 species